GCCAGACUCCUACGGGAGGCAGCAGUGAGGAAUAUUGGUCAAUGGGCGCAAGCCUGACCCAGCAACGCCGCGUGAAGGAAGAAGGCUUUCGGGUUGUAAACUUCUUUUCUGAGGGACGAAGGAAGUGACGGUACCUCAGGAAUAAGCCACGGCUAACUACGUGCCAGCAGCCGCGGUAAUACGUAGGUGGCAAGCGUUAUCCGGAUUUAUUGGGUGUAAAGGGCGUGUAGGCGGGAAUGCAAGUCAGAUGUGAAAACUAUGGGCUCAACCCAUAGCCUGCAUUUGAAACUGUAUUUCUUGAGUGCUGGAGAGGCAAUCGGAAUUCCGUGUGUAGCGGUGAAAUGCGUAGAUAUACGGAGGAACACCAGUGGCGAAGGCGGCCGGCUGGACGGCAACUGACGUUGAGGCCCGAAAGCGUGGGGAGCAAACAGGAUUAGAUACCCGUGUAAAC
rnacentral:rRNA from 1 species